UAUAAGUAUAAACGAUUUUAUCGUGAAACCGCGAACGGCUCAUUAUAACAGCUAUAAUUCACUUGAUCUUGACAAUCCUACUUGGAUAACUGUGGUAAUUCUAGAGCUAAUACAUGCACCAAAGCUCCGACCUUACGGGAGGAGCGCAUUUAUUAGAACAAAACCAAGCGACCUCGGUCGUCUUUUGUUGACUCAGAAUAACUAAGCUGAUCGCAUGGUCUUGUACCGGCGACGUGUCUUUCAAGUAUCUGCCUUAUCAACUUUCGAUGGUAGUGUAUCUGACUACCAUGGUGGUGACGGGUAACGGAGGAUAAGGGUUCGACUCCGGCGAAGGGGCCUGAGAAAUGGCCACUACGUCUAAGGAUGGCAGCAGGCGCGCAAAUUACCCACUCUCAGAACAUUGAGGAGGUAGUGACGAAAAAUAACGAGACCGUUCUCUUUGAGGCCGGUCAUCGGAAUGGGUACAAUCUAAA
rnacentral:rRNA from 1 species